CCACCCUCUGUCCCGUUUCUGGUCCGGUUCCCGGGCCUGACCUCAAACCUGAGCCCCGCCCCUGGCUCUACCCCAACUCGGGUCCGGUUCCCGGACCUCCCCUCCCCGGCCGGACCUCUCUGCUCCCCCCUCCUCCGGCUGCGUCCCUCCCUCUGCCCCCCGCCCCGGCCCAGCCUAGGCCUGGCCUCCCGCUCCCGGCCCUGAGUUGGGGAGGGGGGCAGGUUGGGGGGGGGGGGCUCUGACUUUUCCCAGUGUUUACUCACGGAAUCAAACCGAGUGAGUAUCCGGAGACAGGAGCGACCCACAAGACCAGGCAACCCAUCCAAACUUUGGGAAGUCCCACACGCUCCAUCCUUGUGAAUCUACCCGUGUGCUGAAAUUUGUGCCCGCGUCCCGGGGCCUUGUAUGUGAAAGGUUCAGACGACGGGCAUCUUCGGAGCUGAGCCGAUUCAGGUAAAGAGGAGGAGACGGUCUGCUCACGCCAGGCGCCGGAAGUGCUGCGUCGGAGACGCCGAGAACCACUUCUUUUACUUGCGGGUGGGAAUCCGCCGUCUGAGCCACCCUCCCGUGUCGAGCGGAACGAAGCCAGGACUUCCUUGUCACACUAUGUGUACACUAAGGCUACGUGUGCACGGUGUUUGCUGGUGACACAGACAAAGGGCUUCUGAACCCGGGAACGAGGAGGUUCAGGUGGGCGGUGGAGUGAAGGGGGAAAAGAAAAGGGAGGGAGGGGGAGCAAGGCCGGGAGGACCGUGUCCAUCCGUGGUGAGCCGAAGGCUUGGGCCUCGUCUUCUGGCGGUGCGAUCCCCAGACGCCUCCCGGAUCGGCAGGUGCUGGGGGAUGGGUACGGGCUGCCUUCUCAGAGUAUUUAAAUAUUCACAUCAUGCACAACUGUGGCAGGUUCAUACACCGCAACAUAAUGGAAAAGACUUUCUACACUGAAUCAGGAGUAGGGUCCAAAGCAGAGCUGGAAAAUAAAUAUCUUGCAUAUAUCUCAAACUCUAUUCUUCAAACAAAACCUUACACCUCAUCAAAGAAGUCAGAGAAGGCCGGAGGGAAGUCCGAGGCCUUCCUCUACAACUGUCUCAUCUCUGAGGCUGA
rnacentral:lncRNA from 1 species